GGAUCCAGACUUUGAUUAUGGCUCAGAGUGAACGCUGGCGGCGUGCUUAACACAUGCAAGUCGAACGAGAACGGGUUAUAGCUUGCUAUAACUGUCAGCUAAGUGGCGCACGGGUGAGUAAUGUAUAGUUAACCUGCCCUCGAGAAAGGAAUAACAGUUGGAAACGACUGCUAAUGCCCUAUAUGCCUUUAAGACAUAAGUCUGCAAGGGAAAUGCUUUAGUGCUCGAGGAUGGGACUGUAUGGUAUCAGCUAGUUGGUGAGGUAAUGGCUCACCAAGGCAAUGACGCCUAACUGGUUUGAGAGGAUGAUCAGUCACACUGGAACUGAGACACGGUCCAGACUCCUACGGGAGGCAGCAGUGGGGAAUAUUGCACAAUGGAGGAAACUCUGAUGCAGCAACGCCGCGUGGAGGAUGACACUUUUCGGAGCGUAAACUCCUUUUAUAUAGGAAGAUAAUGACGGUACUAUAUGAAUAAGCACCGGCUAACUCCGUGCCAGCAGCCGCGGUAAU
rnacentral:rRNA from 1 species